GACGAACGCUGGCGGCGUGCUUAACACAUGCAAGUCGUACGGUAAGGCCCUUUCGGGGGUCCACGAGUGGCGAACGGGUGCGUAACACGUGAGUAACCUGCCCACAACUUUGGGAUAACGCUAGGAAACUGGUGCUAAUACUGGAUAUGUGCUCCUGCUGCAUGGUGGGGGUUGGAAAGCUCCGGCGGUUGUGGAUGGACUCGCGGCCUAUCAGCUUGUUGGUGGGGUAGUGGCCUACCAAGGCGGCGACGGGUAGCCGGCCUGAGAGGGUGACCGGCCACAUUGGGACUGAGAUACGGCCCAGACUCCUACGGGAGGCAGCAGUGGGGAAGAUUGCACAAUGGGCGCAAGCCUGAUGCAGCAACGCCGCGUGCGGGAUGACGGCCUUCGGGUUGUAAACCGCUUUCAGCAGGGACGAAGCUUUUUGUGACGGUACCUGCAGAAGAAGCACCGGCUAACUACGUG
rnacentral:rRNA from 1 species